CCUACGGGAGGCAGCAGUGGGGAAUUUUGGACAAUGGGCGCAAGCCUGAUCCAGCAAUGCCGUGUGAGUGAAGAAGGCCUUCGGGUUGUAAAGCUCUUUUGUCAGGGAAGAAAAGGGAUUGGCUAAUAUCCGAUCCUCAUGACGGUACCUGAAGAAUAAGCACCGGCUAACUACGUGCCAGCAGCCGCGGUAAUACGUAGGGUGCAAGCGUUAAUCGGAAUUACUGGGCGUAAAGCGUGCGCAGGCGGUUUUGUAAGACUGUCGUGAAAUCCCCGGGCUUAACCUGGGAAUGGCGAUGGUGACUGCAAGGCUAGAGUUUGGCAGAGGGGGGUAGAAUUCCACGUGUAGCAGUGAAAUGCGUAGAUAUGUGGAGGAACACCGAUGGCGAAGGCAGCCCCCUGGGUCAAAACUGACGCUCAUGCACGAAAGCGUGGGGAGCAAACAGGAUUAGAUACCCUGGUAGUCCACGCCCUAAACGAUGUCUACUAGUUGUCGGGUCUUAAUUGACUUGGUAACGCAGCUAACGCGUGAAGUAGACCGCCUGGGGGAGGUACGGUCGUCGAGAAGUUAAACUUAACUAAAGUUAGUUAAGUUAGACGGCGUUGAGACGNGCGACGGACGACGACGAGGGAGGAGG
rnacentral:rRNA from 1 species